rnacentral:rRNA from 1 species
AACGAACGCUGGCGGCAUGCCUAACACAUGCAAGUCGAACGAGACCUUCGGGUCUAGUGGCGCACGGGUGCGUAACGCGUGGGAACCUGCCCUUAGGUUCGGAAUAACUCCCCGAAAGGGGUGCUAAUACCGGAUAAUGUCUUCGGACCAAAGAUUUAUCGCCUUUGGAUGGGCCCGCGUUGGAUUAGCUAGUUGGUAGGGUAAAAGCCUACCAAGGCGACGAUCCAUAGCUGGUCUGAGAGGAUGAUCAGCCACACUGGGACUGAGACACGGCCCAGACUCCUACGGGAGGGAGCAGUGGGGAAUAUUGGACAAUGGGCGAAAGCCUGAUCCAGCAAUGCCGCGUGAGUGAUGAAGGCCUUGGGGUUGUAAAGCUCUUUUACCCGGGAUGAUAAUGACAGUACCGGGAGAAUAAGCUCCGGCUAACUCCGUG